rnacentral:rRNA from 1 species
AUCUUCGGACCUCACGCUAUCAGAUGAGCCUAGGUCGGAUUAGCUAGUUGGUGAGGUAAAGGCUCACCAAGGCGACGAUCCGUAACUGGUCUGAGAGGAUGAUCAGUCACACUGGAACUGAGACACGGUCCAGACUCCUACGGGAGGCAGCAGUGGGGAAUAUUGGACAAUGGGCGAAAGCCUGAUCCAGCCAUGCCGCGUGUGUGAAGAAGGUCUUCGGAUUGUAAAGCACUUUAAGUUGGGAGGAAGGGCAGUAAGUUAAUACCUUGCUGUUUUGACGUUACCAACAGAAUAAGCACCGGCUAACUUCGUGCCAGCAGCCGCGGUAAUACGAAGGGUGCAAGCGUUAAUCGGAAUUACUGGGCGUAAAGCGCGCGUAGGUGGUUCGUUAAGUUGGAUGUGAAAGCCCCGGGCUCAACCUGGGAAUUGCAUUUGAAACUGGAAAACUAGAGUGUGUGAGAGGGGGGUAGAAUUCCAAGUGUAGCGGUGAAAUGCGUAGAGAUUUGGAGNGAAUACCAGUNGNGNCGAAGGCGGCCCCCUGGCACAACACUGACGCUCAGGUGCGAAAGCGUGGGGAGCAAACAGGGUUAGAUACCCUGGUAGUCCACGCCGUAAACGAUGUCUACUAGCUGUUCGUGACCUUGUGUCGUGAGUAGCGCAGCUAACGCACUAAGUAGACCGCCUGGGGANGUACGNGUCGCAAGAUUAAAACUCAAAUGAAUUGACGGGGGCCCGCACAAGCGGUGGAGCAUGUGGUUUAAUUCGACGCAACGCGAAGAACCUUACCUACUCUUGACAUCCAGAGAAGACUGCAGAGAUGCGGUUGUGCCUUCGGGAACUCUGAGACAGGUGCUGCAUGGCUGUCGUCAGCUCGUGUUGUGAAAUGUUGGGUUAAGUCCCGCAACGAGCGCAACCCUUAUCCUUAGUUGCCAGCACGUAAUGGUGGGAACUCUAGGGAGACUGCCGGUGAUAAACCGGAGGAAGGUGGGGACGACGUCAAGUCAUCAUGGCCCUUACGAGUAGGGCUACACACGUGCUACAAUGGUAUGUACAGAGGGAGGCAAGCUGGCGACAGUGAGCGGAUCUCUUA